CUCGAUGAGUAGGGCGGGACACGUGGUAUCCUGUCUGAAUAUGGGGGGACCAUCCUCCAAGGCUAAAUACUCCUGACUGACCGAUAGUGAACCAGUACCGUGAGGGAAAGGCGAAAAGAACCCCGGCGAGGGGAGUGAAAAAGAACCUGAAACCGUGUACGUACAAGCAGUGGGAGCACAGAGCAAUCUGUGUGACUGCGUACCUUUUGUAUAAUGGGUCAGCGACUUAUAUUCUGUAGCAAGGUUAACCGAAUAGGGGAGCCGAAGGGAAACCGAGUCUUAACUGGGCGUUAAGUUGCAGGGUAUAGACCCGAAACCCGGUGAUCUAGCCAUGGGCAGGUUGAAGGUUGGGUAACACUAACUGGAGGACCGAACCGACUAAUGUUGAAAAAUUAGCGGAUGACUUGUGGCUGGGGGUGAAAGGCCAAUCAAACCGGGAGAUAGCUGGUUCUCCCCGAAAGCUAUUUAGGUAGCGCCUCGUGAAUUCAUCUCCGGGGGUAGAGCACUGUUUCGGCAAGGGGGUCAUCCCGACUUACCAACCCGAUGCAAACUGCGAAUACCGGAGAAUGUUAUCACGGGAGACACACGGCGGGUGCUAACGUCCGUCGUGAAGAGGGAAACAACCCAGACCGCCAGCUAAGGUCCCAAAGUCAUGGUUAAGUGGGAAACGAUGUGGGAAGGCCCAGACAGCCAGGAUGUUGGCUUAGAAGCAGCCAUCAUUUAAAGAAAGCGUAAUAGCUCACUGGUCGAGUCGGCCUGCGCGGAAGAUGUAACGGGGCUAAACCAUGCACCGAAGCUGCGGCAGCGACACUGUGUGUUGUUGGGUAGGGGAGCGUUCUGUAAGCCUGUGAAGGUGUGCUGUGAGGCAUGCUGGAGGUAUCAGAAGUGCGAAUGCUGACAUAAGUAACGAUAAAGCGGGUGAAAAGCCCGCUCGCCGGAAGACCAAGGGUUCCUGUCCAACGUUAAUCGGGGCAGGGUGAGUCGACCCCUAAGGCGAGGCCGAAAGGCGUAGUCGAUGGGAAACAGGUUAAUAUUCCUGUACUUGGUGUUACUGCGAAGGGGGGACGGAGAAGGCUAUGUUGGCCGGGCGACGGUUGUCCCGGUUUAAGCGUGUAGGCUGGUUUUCCAGGCAAAUCCGGAAAAUCAAGGCUGAGGCGUGAUGACGAGGCACUACGGUGCUGAAGCAACAAAUGCCCUGCUUCCAGGAAAAGCCUCUAAGCAUCAGGUAACAUCAAAUCGUACCCCAAACCGACACAGGUGGUCAGGUAGAGAAUACCAAGGCGCUUGAGAGAACUCGGGUGAAGGAACUAGGCAAAAUGGUGCCGUAACUUCGGGAGAAGGCACGCUGAUAUGUAGGUGAAGUCCCUCGCGGAUGGAGCUGAAAUCAGUCGAAGAUACCAGCUGGCUGCAACUGUUUAUUAAAAACACAGCACUGUGCAAACACGAAAGUGGACGUAUACGGUGUGACGCCUGCCCGGUGCCGGAAGGUUAAUUGAUGGGGUCAGCGCAAGCGAAGCUCUUGAUCGAAGCCCCGGUAAACGGCGGCCGUAACUAUAACGGUCCUAAGGUAGCGAAAUUCCUUGUCGGGUAAGUUCCGACCUGCACGAAUGGCGUAAUGAUGGCCAGGCUGUCUCCACCCGAGACUCAGUGAAAUUGAACUCGCUGUGAAGAUGCAGUGUACCCGCGGCAAGACGGAAAGACCCCGUGAACCUUUACUAUAGCUUGACACUGAACAUUGAGCCUUGAUGUGUAGGAUAGGUGGGAGGCUUUGAAGUGUGGACGCCAGUCUGCAUGGAGCCGACCUUGAAAUACCACCCUUUAAUGUUUGAUGUUCUAACGUGGACCCGUGAUCCGGGUUGCGGACAGUGUCUGGUGGGUAGUUUGACUGGGGCGGUCUCCUCCUAAAGAGUAACGGAGGAGCACGAAGGUUGGCUAAUCCUGGUCGGACAUCAGGAGGUUAGUGCAAUGGCAUAAGCCAGCUUGACUGCGAGCGUGACGGCGCGAGCAGGUGCGAAAGCAGGUCAUAGUGAUCCGGUGGUUCUGAAUGGAAGGGCCAUCGCUCAACGGAUAAAAGGUACUCCGGGGAUAACAGGCUGAUACCGCCCAAGAGUUCAUAUCGACGGCGGUGUUUGGCACCUCGAUGUCGGCUCAUCACAUCCUGGGGCUGAAGUAGGUCCCAAGGGUAUGGCUGUUCGCCAUUUAAAGUGGUACGCGAGCUGGGUUUAGAACGUCGUGAGACAGUUCGGUCCCUAUCUGCCGUGGGCGCUGGAGAACUGAGGGGGGCUGCUCCUAGUACGAGAGGACCGGAGUGGACGCAUCACUGGUGUUCGGGUUGUCAUGCCAAUGGCACUGCCCGGUAGCUAAAUGCGGAAGAGAUAAGUGCUGAAAGCAUCUAAGCACGAAACUUGCCCCGAGAUGAGUUCUCCCUGACCCUUUAAGGGUCCUGAAGGAACGUUGAAGACGACGACGUUGAUAGGCCGGGUGUGUAAGCGCAGCGAUGCGUUGAGCUAACCGGUACUAAUGAACCGUGAGGCUUAACCUUACAACGCCGAAGGUGUUU
rnacentral:rRNA from 1 species